AUCCACGGCCAUACCACCCUGAAUGUGCCUGAUCCCGUCUGGUGCUGGCUGCUAAGCAGGGUCGGGCCUGGUUAGUACUU
rnacentral:rRNA from 1 species